rnacentral:lncRNA from 1 species
CAUAUCUAGAAGCACAAAAGCCAAGAUAUAUACCUGAUUCCACAAUCUCUCUCUCUCUCUCUCUCUCUCUCUCUCUCUCUCUCUCUCUCCCCCUGCCCCCACCUGCCCUGCCUCAUUUAUUAAUGAGACAUCUGUGGAAACACAUCCACCUUGUUAAGCAUCAUGUUUAACAAGGAAACAGGGGUACAUCCUUGGGCUUUUCAGAUGAAAAGGCAGGAAUGACCGGAAGGAUAUGAAGAUUAUUACCACAUCACCAUGUUAUCAGAGCAAGGCAAAGAGCAGCAAAGCAUAUUGAAUGCUGAAGUUUCAUUUUCUACAAAGGACAUCAUUGAAAAGAAGUGGAGAAAGAGGCAGGGACCUAUUGCAGGUGGAUGCAAAAUGGUGAUGAGGCAGGUAAGUUGCUCUAAAACAUCUCUGAAUUUCUUUCACCUUGAGUGUAGCAGUAUAUGAUAUAUCCCUUCUGGAAGUCAACUCAGACCAAUAUCAACCCCCUGUAAUAUGACUUCAGAAAAAAAAAUAC